AUUGAACGCUGGCGGCAGGCUUAACACAUGCAAGUCGAGCGGAGAUGAGGUGCUUGCACCUUAUCUUAGCGGCGGACGGGUGAGUAAUGCUUAGGAAUCUGCCUAUUAGUGGGGGACAACAUUCCGAAAGGAAUGCUAAUACCGCAUACGUCCUACGGGAGAAAGCAGAGGAUCUUCGGACCUUGCGCUAAUAGAUGAGCCUAAGUCGGAUUAGCUAGUUGGUGGGGUAAAGGCCUACCAAGGCGACGAUCUGUAGCGGGUCUGAGAGGAUGAUCCGCCAGACUGGGACUGAGACACGGCCCAGACUCCUACGGGAGGCAGCAGUGGGGAAUAUUGGACAAUGGGGGGAACCCUGCUCCAGCCAUGCCGCGUGUGUGAAGAAGGCCUUAUGGUUGUAAAGCACUUUAAGCGAGGAGGAGGCUACUGAGACUAAUACUCUUGGAUAGUGGACGUUACUCGCAGAAUAAGCACCGGCUAACUCUGUGCCAGCCGCCGCAGUAAAAC
rnacentral:rRNA from 1 species